GCUUGAGUAGUUUAAAGGUAAAACCUUAAUUUCAUACAUUAAAGAUGAGAAUUCGACUUUCUCCUCAGGCU
rnacentral:tRNA from 1 species